UGGGGAAUUUUGGACAAUGGGCGAAAGCCUGAUCCAGCCAUGCCGCGUGAGUGAAGAAGGCCUUCGGGUUGUAAAGCUCUUUUAGUCGGAAAGAAAGAGUUGCAAUGAAUAAUUGUGAUUUAUGACGGUACCGACAGAAAAAGCACCGGCUAACUACGUGCCAGCAGCCGCGGUAAUACGUAGGGUGCGAGCGUUAAUCGGAAUUACUGGGCGUAAAGGGUGCGCAGGCGGUCUUGCAAGUCAGAUGUGAAAGCCCCGAGCUUAACCUGGGAAUUGCGUUUGAAACUACAAGGCUAGAGUGCAGCAGAGGGUAGUGGAAUUCCAUGUGUAGCAGUGAAAUGCGUAGAGAUGUGGAAGAACACCGAUGGCGAAGGCAGCUCCCUGGGUUGACACUGACGCUCAUGCACGAAAGCGUGGGGAGCAAACA
rnacentral:rRNA from 1 species